rnacentral:lncRNA from 1 species
AUAGAGAACCAACUAUUUGGAUAUCAUAUAACAUUUUGCAGAAAUAAAUGCUAGAUGAAGUUAAUCGUAACAUUACCAAGUUGAAAGCGACUUUUUUUAUGGCCAUCCAUGAAACUUAAAUGUGAAUAAUAAACAUGAUACUUUGAUUUGGUUGUGGUAUAUCACUCUCAUCCUUAGCAUUUUUUUUUUGCCACUACUUAGAU